rnacentral:rRNA from 1 species
UACGUAGGUGACAAGCGUUGUCCGGAUUUACUGGGCGUAAAGAGCGCGCAGGCGGUCGUUCAAGUCGAGUGUGAAAGCCCCCGGCUCAACUGGGGAGGGUCAUUCGAUACUGAUCGACUCGAAGGCAGGAGAGGGAAGUGGAAUUCCCGGUGUAGUGGUGAAAUGCGUAGAUAUCGGGAGGAACACCUGUGGCGAAGGCGGCUUUCUGGGCCCUACCUGACGCUGAGACGCGAAAGCGUGGGGAGCGAACCGG